GCCGGUGUAGCUCAGUGGCAGAGCAGCUGUUUCGUAAACAGCGGGUCGUUGGUUCAAUUCCAAUCACCGGCUCCA
rnacentral:tRNA from 1 species